UGGAGAUUUGUAGAAAUAAGGUGGUGGAGGAGAGGGAGAUGGUGGUGGUGGGGACUUAUAAAUGUAUGGUGGAGGUGGUGAUGGGGACGGAGGUGGAGGAGAUUUGUAAAUAUAAGGAGGCGGAGGGGAAGGGGAUGGUGGUGGUGGGGAUUUAUAAAUGUACGGAGGAGGUGGUGAGGGGGAAGGAGGAGGUGGGGACUUGUAAAUGUAUGGGGGAGGUGGUGAUGGGGACGGAGGUGGAGGAGAUUUGUAAAUAUAAGGAGGUGGAGGGGAGGGGGAUGGUGGUGGUGGUGAUUUGUAUAUAUAUGGCGGUGGAGGAGGGGGGGAAGGUGGCGGUGGUGACUUAUAAAUGUAGGGAGGAGGUGGUGAUGGUGACGGUGGAGGUGGGGACUUAUAUACGUAGGGAGGAGGUGGUGAUGGGGAAGGUGGAGGUGGGGACUUAUAAAUGUAGGGAGGAGGCGGCGAAGGUGACGGAGGAGGUGGCGAUUUAUAGAUGUACGGAGGAGGUGGUGACGGGGACGGAGGUGGGGGAGAUUUGUAAACAUAAGGAGGAGGAGGGGAGGGGGAUGGUGGUGGUGGUGAUUUAUAAAUAUAUGGAGGCGGUGGUGAGGGUGAUGGUGGUGGAGGAGACUUGUAAAUAUAUGGUGGUGGUGGCGAGGGUGAUGGUGGUGGAGGAGAUUUGUAAAUAUAAGGAGGUGGAGGAGAGGGGGACGGUGGUGGUGGCGAUUUAUAAAUGUAGGGAGGGGGAGGGGAAGGAGAAGGUGGUGGUGGAGAUUUAUAGAUAUAUGGAGGUGGUGGCGAUUUAUACGAAUACCGUGGAGACGGUGGAGGCGGAGAUUUAUAAAUGUAAGGAGGUGGGGGUGAACUAUAUGUAUACAGUGUUUUGGGGGGAGAAGCAUAAACAUAAGGCCAACUGCCAUGGGCACUUGCACCAGUAGUAGCAGCAACUACACAUAAUGCCGUAACAUAUAACAGGCAGGCCAAAACUGAGGCCAUCUUGAGGCCAAAAAUGAGUUUGGAACUUCUAAGUGAUUAAGAAGUGCAGGAAGGGAUCAUAUAGAAUGCUACUCAAGAGUGUACUUCAUACUGAGAUGAUUUAUUAAGAGCAGAGGCUACCCUUUAUAUAUACUGAUCAAACCUUCGGUACUUGAUCUGUUGAUCAUUAUGUUGAACAAAAGCUGUCGUUUCUGUACACUAAAUGGUGGUUCAAACUGCAUGAAGUAGUCAAAUAAGUAAGAGUUUCGUUAAAGGCCUGCCAGAUGGUAAGAUACACUUAAUGGUAAGAACUUGUCUACUCUGCCGGAUCAGUUUUUAAUUUAAGCAACUGACUUCAGGACUGAGCCAUCAGAUGCACAGCCGCGUCCACACACAAAUAUGUACUGCUGACCAUGCACCUAUUGUUUGAACUUUUAUGUAGUCUUUUCUUUAUUUUGUUAUUUUUAGGGCGGAAAACUAUUUGAAUAAUUCAAGUUCGAUUCUUGAUUCGACUGGUUGAAAAUAAAAAUAAUUUGUGUUCAUGUAAAAAAAAGUGAAUUGGAAUACAAUUAUAUAAUUCGAACAAGUACGAGUCCAAUCCUACCAUUCUCGGUCAUAUUUCUUUAAAGUACUUCAUUUAAUUAAAAAGUACUCAAAUAUACAUAUUUAUUAUAAAUAUUCAAAUCGAAUAAAUAUAUAUCAUUGUAUAAAUAAUAUUUAUAUUAAUAUAAAUAAUAUAUGUAUUAAUAUAAUACUCUACAAAUGAUAUAAUUUUUAUUAGAAUUCUAGGAAUUCAUGAAAUCAUUAAUCUCGAAACAAUUAGUUCAAACAAUUCAUCCUUCUUAAUAAGAUAAAGUCUAAUUUAUUGAUGCAAUGCAUCAUUUUCCAGUAUUAAAAUUUCAAUCGACUUGUUCAGCACAAGAACAUUUUAUCUUCGUGAAUCUUAAUAAUUUCAAUUUAUUACAAUUUUUAAGAUAAAGAGGAAACUUUAUCUUCGAUGAAUGGUCCUCUAUAAUGUAUUAUUUUUCAAGUAUUGAAGUUUCAAUUGACUUGUUCACUCCAACAUUCCUCUCAAAUUAAAUUUAUAUUUCUAUUAUUUUAUAGUAUUCGUCAUUAUUUUUGUACAAUAGACAAUCAUAGAAUUUCUUAACUUUGCUUUGAGUUUUAUAUGAUAUCUAAAUUGGUGGUUGAACUCCACAAAAAUAUAGUAUCACUUGACUCGAUUUUGCUUGAGAGUUGAUUGUAGAUAAGAAAUUGUUUCAAGUCAUUGAUUUCGGGUUGAUGAUUUUAAUGAAUUUUUAGAAUUAUAAUUAUAAUUCUUCCCCAUUUUAACGGCUCGUUUAUGUUAUUAUUAUUCCCUCCAUCCUUCUCAUUUCUUUAUAGUUCUAUUUCUCUCAUGGCACGUAUUUUAAGGUUCUUACUUUUUAUGAAACAUAGUUCCAUAACUUAAUUUCAAGAUUUUAUUUUUGUGUAUAAAAAUUCAAACAUUAAAUUUUUAUUCAGAAAAAAAAUUAAUAUAAUUUAUGAAACUAAAUCUUUUAGAACCAACACAACGCCUUUGUUUAACUACUUCCAAUCAAAGAAUUAAUUACAUGUGUUUAACCGCACACUUUAUUGAUAAAGAUUGGAAGUUGCAUAAAAAAUACUAAACUUUAUUGUUUGUCGAAUUCUUAGUCAUAAAGGUAAGGCAAUUGCAUUGGCAAUCGAGGAGUGUUUGGUGGAGUGGGGGAUAUAUUUAGGGUAUUAUCUGUCACGGUUGAUAAUGCUAGUACUAAUGAUGUUGCAUUGGAUAGGUUAAGAGAUAAAAUUGGUAAUUGGGGUACUAGCGUGUUAAAUGGUGAACACUUACACUUGAGGUGUGUUGCUCAUGUUCUAAAUUUAAUUGUCAAAGUUGGAUUGGGGGUCUUUAAUGAGUCAAUUGUGAUUAAGUAUGUGAGGUAUUCACCCGCUAGGGAGGCAUUGUUUAUGGAAUGUGCAAAGUAUGCGAGAGAAUUGAAAUUCAAAAAUGUUUGAUUCUUGAUGUGGAUACUAGAUGGAAUUCGACAUAUGAAAUACAUGUAUUGAAUUGAUUAACAUGUAGUGAUAGCAAUAGGUGAAGUACAGAAUUAUGUGAGUGUGUGUUAAGACAAUCCGUGCCUGUGUAUUUCUUGACUUGGUAUUCUAAUAAUGAACUGAAAUCUGUAACUCAUGCUCUGUGGUUUGAUAUAUAAGGUGUUCUGGGCAGUUUAAAAGCCUUAUUUGGUGUCAUUUUGCAGCAGCAGCCAAGGGAUGAGCACCAACAGCUUGUAUGUCUCCAACUGGUCAAAUAACUCGGUAGUCAUCAGCAACCGCAGCACUUCAGCAGUGAGCCCUUAAUGCUUAGCAGAAGACAGGAAUUUUUGCGACUAAACUAAAUAUGUGAUAGAUUGUGAUAGACUAAGUUUAGACUUAUGGAGUGUGUUGGUUAAUUUUAAUGGCAUAUGUAGUGUGAAGUGUUGGUUUUUAAUGGCCGGAUGUGUUUAAGCUUUUUUAUUCAGUAAUCAUUCAUAACUUGUAAACUUAUAAUGUCUUUGUCUGUUCUGCUAUUCAAGUUCUUGUGAAAUUUCGGUUUUAAGCUUCGAUUUUCGGUAUUAACCCAAAUAUAAAUUUCAGUUCGGUUUCAAAACUGAAUUAAUUUCGGUUCGGUUUUCGGCAAGGAUUUUUUUAGCUUUCUCUGUUUUUAACCGAAUUUUAAUUCAGUUCGGUUCGGUUCGGUUUUUACCAAAUGCUCACCCCUAAUCAGAAGAAUAAAUGUAAAUAAAUUUAAAAAAAGAGAGAGUAUAUGUAAAUAAGAACUGAUCUUUCUAUAUAUUGAAGAAAUAUAUCAAGAGAGAAUGAGAAAAAAAAUGUAAAAAACGAAAAGGGAGACAAAAAUAAUCAAAUGUAUAAAUUAAAAAAACUAUAGCAACUAAUAAAUUGAGAAUUUUUAUUGAUCGACGUCUAAUAAAUAUGAUACAUUUAAUGGAAAGUUGGGUAUCACAUAGAUAAAGAUACAGCAUAAAUCUAAGUUCUAAACUUGUAUACCCGCGUAUAAAGGAAUAAAUAUUGAACUCAUAUAUAUGUCGUAUCAUGUCACUAACAAACUGUUUAUGCAUGAUUUCAUAGGCCCUUUCAUUUAUUCUUCAACUGGUCGAUUCUAUUUUCUAGCACCCGCCGCAAAUGUAUCAAGGCCUAGGCGGGAGGCGGAGGAGAGGUGUAGGAGUACGGUGGAGGAGAAGAUGGUGGUGGCGGUGAUACGUAUGUAUAUGCUUUUGGAGGAGACACGGAAGGAGGUGGUGGUGAUGGGGACGGUGGAGGCGGUGAUGGUGGUGGUGGUGAUGGUGGGGGUGGAGACGGCGGUGGUGGAGAUGGUGGUGGCGGUGACGGAGGCGGUGGUGGUUUUGCAAUGUGAACUAAAGGCGGCAUUGCUAUUGGAGGUGGUGGAGAUUUGUAGGUGUAAGCUUUUGGGGGUGGGGGAGUCUUGUGGACAAUGGGGGAUGGAGAAGGAGAUGGUGGUGGUGGUGAUUCCUUAGGUGAUGGUGGGGGUGGUGAUUUUUCGGGUGAGGGAGAUGGUGGCGGCGGUGACUCUUUGGGUGAUGGUGGGGGUGGGGAUUCCUUGGGUGAUUCUUUGGGUGAUGGAGAUGGUGGUGAUUUGACAAUGGGCGAAGGAGAUGAAGAUGGUGGUGGAGUUUUAUAUGUUGGAAAUGGUGGGAAAGUAGGUAGAGGUGGGGGCUUGAAAUGAGGCGGAAAAUUAGGAUGUUUAUGAUGUGGUGGAGGCUUGAAGGUAAAUGGAGAUGGUGGGGAUUCUAUCGGAGGAACUGAUCCUGGUGGUGGCGGUGGACAUGUGUUAAUAUAAUGAGGUGGACCCGAGUAUGACGGUGGUGAUGGAGUUGGUGAGGGGGAACUUUUCGGGGGAGAUUUAUAGACGUAAGGUGAUGGUGAAGGUGAGGGAGAUGGUUGUUCUUUGGAUGGAGAUGGGGGAGAUUUGUAGACGUAAGGCGAUGGAGGAGAUUCAGUUGGGGGUGUUGAUGGUGAACUUGAUGGAGGGGGUUUGUAGGUGAAGGGCGAUGGAGGAGUUUCGGGGGAAGAUGAUGUUGGAGGAGGUGUUAGGCAUGCAUUGAUCGGAGGUGAUGGUGGAGGAGGAGGUGUUAGGCAUGCAUUGAUCGGAGGUGAUGGUGAUGGUGAAGUUGAUGGCGGAGACUUAUAGACGUAAGGAGAUGGAGGAGAUUCUUUUGGUGCCGGAGAUGGAGAUGGUGGAGAUUUAUAUACAAAAGGUGAUGGAGGAGAUUCUUUUGGUUUUGGAGAUGGAGAGGGGGAGGAUGAUGGUGGAGAUUUGUAGACAAAAGGAGAUGGAGGGGAUUCUUUAGGAGUUGAAGGAGAAGAGGGUGGUGGUGGGGGACAAGUGUUGAUAUAGUGAGGUGGAGCUUCAUGUGAAGGUGUUGAUGGACUUGGUGAUGGAGAGGAUGAUGGUGGAGAUUUGUAGACAAAAGGGGCAGGACCAGAUUCAGUUGGUGGAGGUGGUGAGACAUACACGUAUUUUUUAGGUGGUGGAGGUGGUGAGACAUACACGUAAGGAGCUUUUUUAGGUGGUGGUGGUGUAGAUGCAACCAGGGGUGCUGGUGGAAUUUCCUUAACUGGUGGAGGUGGGGAGAGAAAGAGGUGAGGUGGAGGCGGGGAAGGUGAAGGUGGAGGCGGGGAAGGUGGUGGUGAAGGCGGGGGAGGUGAGGGUGGAGGUGGCGAAGGUGGUGGUGAAGGCGGGGGAGGUGAGGGUGGAGGAGGCGAAGGUGGUGGUGAAGGCGGGGGAGGUGAGGGCGGAGGAGGUGAAGGUGGUGGAGAAGGCGGUGGAGGUGAAGGUGGAGGAGGCGAAUGUGGUGGUGACGGUGGUGGAGGUGAAGGAGGGGGCGGCGAAUGCACUGGCGGUGGUGGAGAGGGAGUCGAUGGUGGUGGCGGAGAGGUAUAAGUAUACGGCGGAGGGGAGGCCGGUGGUGGUGGAGAAACAUAACUAUAAGCUGGCCUCCCUUCCACCGCAAAACUACUCAAG
rnacentral:lncRNA from 1 species